GGGCGAUUCCGCGUCAUCGGUGCCGGUUCGCCGGCCUAAGAGGGAACGGAGUUCGACACUUCGGCUGCCCCCGCAACUGUGACCGGUUAGGUGUGCCCCAUCAUGCCACUGCGCAAGCGGGAAGGCGGGGAACACCGGUGAUCCGGGAGCCAGGAGACCUGCCCAUGAUGUCGUUCGGCC
rnacentral:ncRNA from 2 species